rnacentral:piRNA from 1 species
CAACAGGGCUGAGAUACAUGUCA